GCAGAUGUAACUUGAAGCAAAGAUUAAACUGAUUUUAGGCAGACAACUAGGAGAGAAAGGUGAGGUUAGAAAAAGUUUUCUGAUAAGCUCUGGUUCAAAAUACCUUUUUAUCUAAUACAAAAGAUAAUUUUAGGCCAGUGCAGUGGCUCAUGUCUGUAAUCCCAACACUUUGGGAGGCCAAAGUGGGCGGAUCACUCGGGCCCAGGAGCUUGAGACCAGCCUGGCCAACAUGGUGAAACCCCGUCUCUACAACAUUGAAAAAAAAUUUAAGUCCCAGCCACUCAGAACGCUGAGAUGGGAGGAUCACUUGAACCCAGAAUGGUUGAUGUGCAGUGGCGUGAUCUCAGCUCACUGCAACCUGCAUCUCCGGGGUUCAAGCAAUUCUCCUGCCUCAGGCGUCUGCCACCAUGCCUGGCUAAUUUUUGUAUUUUAAUAGAGAUGGGAUUUCACUACGUUGGCCAGGCUGGUCUCGAACUCCUGACCUUGAGUGAUCCCGCCUCCACCUCCAAAGGGCUGGGAUUACAGGCGUGAGCCACCACACCCAGCCUAAAGUUGGUUUUGAAAUAAAAAUUGUGUGUGAUUGACCUUGAGAGCUAAACCUUGCUCUGUUGGAGCUUUCCCCAGUUAGGUACCCUGCCUGUCUUUCUUGAGCCUUAGUCCCUUGGCAGCUGUCCUGUGCUCUGGAUAAACAAGUACUGAGUUACCGUGCCUCUGACUGAGACCGUAGGGAAGGAAAUACCAAGUAGCCCCCCACUGCCCCCCACUCAGGCUGUCUAGGGAGUCGGGUUUCUUUAACUUUUAAGAACACUACAUGGAAGCAUUAAGCACACCACACUGUCACUGCCAGCUAGCUUAGUGGCUGUGUAAGCCACAAAAUAUGAAAUCUGCGUAUCUGGUCAAUUUUGUCCUAAGAAGGGUAGUAGUGUUAGUCUGUUCUUGGCGUUGCUAUAAAUACCUGAGGUUAGGUAAUUUACAAAGAAAAGAGGUUUAAUUGGCUCAUGGCAGGCUGCAUGGCACUGGCUUCUGGUGAAGCCUCAAGGAGCUUUUACUCGUAGCCAAAGACAAGAGAGCAGGCCUGAGAGAAGAAGCAAGGGAGUGAGGCGGGAGACUUGAAAACAAUCAAAUCUCACUUGAAGUAACUGAGCAAGGGGAUAGUGCUAAACCAUGAGGGAUCCAAACAUCCAAACCAUAUCAAGGUAGAAACUGAAAUGAACUUCACUUCCUUUUAAUUACAUAUUGAAGGGAAGCUUCAAGGGCCAGAAGAAGACAGAGACACUGAAGUAGAAGGGGAGGAUUCAGUGGGAGAUCCCAAGAAGCCUAGCAAGCGUUCUUCUAAGGUAAGUGCAGGGAUAGCUGUGCUCAUUUGCUUGGUGUUUAUAGUAAUUGUCAUCAGGAGCUAAUAUUUUACAACUGUACUGAUGUGCAGAACUUAAAAUUCAUCGUGGCCAGAAUUUACAUUUUGUGUGGACCAAAAAUAGAAAUGAAAACAUGGGAGUUCACUUAGACUUACAAAGUUACAGUAAAUUAAACUGAUUUGAUACUGGCCCAGAAGACACAAAGAGAAUAGGACAGUAAGCCUAAUAACUGACAAGUGUUUAAAUAUGUGGUAGAGUAGCAUUUCAAAAUAGUCAAGAAAAGAUGGACUAUUUAAUAAGCCAAUUUUACCAGCACCAAAUACCUACUUAGAGAAGGGGCAAGUGAUCUGCUGUCCUCCGCCUCUCAAAGUGCUGGGAUUACAGGCGUGAACCACCACACUCAGCCAAGAAUAUACAUAUUUCAGAGGUGGUUCACAUCUGUAAUCCCAGCAGUUUGGGAGGCCGAGGCAAGAGGAUCACUUGAGCCCAGGAGUUAAAGACUAGCCUGGGCAACAUAGUGAGACCUCAUCUCUCUGUAGAUUAAGAUAUAUAUAUACACGCACACAUAUACACACAUAUAUAUAAUAUAUAUAUAUAUUUAAGCUAAUUUUAGGUGAGUACAGUGGCUCGUAUCUGUAAUCCCGACACUUUGGGAGGCCAAAGUGGGCCUCCCAAAGUGUGUGUGGGUGUAUGUAUAUAAAUACAUACACACAUAGAAUACAUACUAAUAAAAAAUAGGUAUAGCCAAAUAGGAAAAAGGAAAGAAUAUGAUAAAAAUAGUUCACCAAAGAAGAAAUACUAAUGAUCAAUGGAAAAAAAA
ensembl:lncRNA